UACAGAGACUGCAAGCGUUAUUCGGAUUCACUGGGCGUAAAGGGUGCGCAGGCGGCCAAGUGUGUGAGGCGUGAAAGCCUGGGGCUUAACUCCAGAAUUGCACCUCAAACUACUUGGCUAGAGCAUUGGAGAGGGUAGCAGAAUUCAUGGUGUAGCAGUGAAAUGCGUAGAUAUCAUGAGGAAUACCAGUGGCGAAGGCGACUACCUGGCCUGUUCUUGACGCUGAGGCGCGAAAGCUAGGGGAGCAAACGGG
rnacentral:rRNA from 1 species